GGACUACUAGGGUAUCUAAUCCCGUUUGCUCCCCUGGCUUUCGCGCCUCAGCGUCAGAAGAGGUCCAGCACGCCGCUUUCGCCACCGGCGUUCCUUCCGAUAUCUACGCAUUUCACCGCUCCACCGGAAGUUCCGCAUGCCCCUACCUCCCUCAAGACCACCAGUAUCCAAGGCACUUCCCCAGUUGAGCUGGGGGCUUUCACCCCGGACUUGAUGACCCGCCUACGCGCCCUUUAAGCCCAGUGAUUCCGAACAACGUUUGCACGGUUCGUCUUACCGCGGCGGCUGGCAC
rnacentral:rRNA from 1 species